AACGAACGCUGGCGGCAUGCCUAACACAUGCAAGUCGAACGAGACCUUCGGGUCUAGUGGCGCACGGGUGCGUAACGCGUGGGAACCUGCCCUUAGGUUCGGAAUAACUCCCCGAAAGGGGUGCUAAUACCGGAUAAUGUCUUCGGACCAAAGAUUUAUCGCCUUUGGAUGGGCCCGCGUUGGAUUAGCUAGUUGGUAGGGUAAAAGCCUACCAAAGCGACGAUCCAUAGCUGGUCUGAGAGGAUGAUCAGCCACACUGGGACUGAGACACGGCCAAGACUCCUACGGGAGGCAGCAGUGGGGAAUAUUGGACAAUGGGCGAAAGACUGAUCCAGCAAUGCCGCGUGAGUGAUGAAGGCCUUAGGGUUGUAAAGCUCUUUUAACCGGGAUGAUAAUGACAGUACCGGGAGAAUAAGCACCGGCUAACUCCGUG
rnacentral:rRNA from 1 species